AUAACAUUUAUUAUAUCAUUACAAUGGCAUCUGGGGUGAGGUAUAUUAUACAGCAAAUGAACGGUCAGUUUUUGAAUUCCAUGAAAGCAGGAAGAAAGGGAAGAAACAGAAAAGAUCUAAGUGACUUUGACAGGGGCCAAAUAGUGAUGAUUGACGACUGAGUCAGAGCAUCUGCAAAAGAGCAAAUCUUGUAGGUAGUUGCAGGUGUACAGUGGUUAUGGGUAGUAUCUACCAAAAGUCAUGCAAGGAAGGACAACCUGUGACCAGGCAUCAGGGUCAUGGGCGCUCAAUGCUCAAUUCUAAAUGUGGGGAACAAAGGCUAGUCCAUCUGGUCCAAUCACACAGUAGAGCUACACUAGCUUACGUUGCUGAAAAAUUAAAUGC